AAAAUUAAGAAAAAAGAAAAAGUGAAAAAGAGGAACUUUGAAGUUUCGUACGUUUUAGAUUGUUUGACUUUAUGUCAAAGAAGAAAAAGAAAAAUAAAAACAAAACUAAUCUCAGUUGUACAAGGGUAGAAUGGUCUUCUUAGGUUGGAGAUGUGGCACCCGGGAGAAGGAAAAUGUAAAAAUGGCAUUGGCUAUAGAAAACG
rnacentral:lncRNA from 1 species